GAACCCACGGCCUGGCAUGCUGGAUGAUUUUGAAAGAAUCUAGAAGGUUGACAAUGGAAAAAGGAUGUUGACACCACAGAAGCAAUGAGCUGAACGUUGGGGCCAUUUCUGCAGGCUGGGGAUGAAAUCUGCCUGGAGAAGUUGCAAAAUUCCAUCCCUGCUCUCCUCACAGUGGGAUGUGGAUGUAAACUCUCCUCUUUCUCAGAGCAGCUUUUAAGGGUGUCUUUGGGGGAUAACAGGGACCAACAAGCAACUUGUGACCCAAGAGGGAAAUAGCAGCAGCAGCAACUGGACUCUUCUCCAGACCUUGUGAUAAUGUUCCUCUUCCCUUGGUUUUGUCUGAGCAUUUCCUGGGACAAGAGCAAGAUUUUAUAUUUCAACAGCACCAAGUACAGCAGCUCCCAAACCUCCCUAACCUGUGAGAUGCCUCAUGCAAUGAUGGUUCUGUGUUCGACAGCUUCCUGA
rnacentral:lncRNA from 1 species